GACGAACGCUGGCGGCGUGCUUAACACAUGCAAGUCGAACGGAAAGGCCCUGCUUUUGUGGGGUGCUCGAGUGGCGAACGGGUGAGUAACACGUGAGUAACCUGCCCUUGACUUUGGGAUAACUUCAGGAAACUGGGGCUAAUACCGGAUAGGAGCUCCUGCUGCAUGGUGGGGGUUGGAAAGUUUCGGCGGUUGGGGAUGGACUCGCGGCUUAUCAGCUUGUUGGUGGGGUAGUGGCUUACCAAGGCUUUGACGGGUAGCCGGCCUGGGAGGGUGACCGGCCACAUUGGGACUGAGAGACGGCCCAGACUCCUACGGGGGGCAGCAGUGGGGAAUAUUGCACAAUGGGCGGAAGCCUGAUGCAGCAACGCCGCGUGCGGGAUGACGGCCUUCGGGUUGUAAACCGCUUUCGCCUGUGACGAAGCGUGAGUGACGGUAAUGGGUAAAGAAGCACCGGCUAACUACGUG
rnacentral:rRNA from 1 species